GUGCUUGCUUCGGCAGCACGUAUACUAAAAUUGGAACAAUACAGAGAAGAUUAUCAUGGUCCCUGUGCAAAAGGACCCAGACUGUAAACCAGAGAAACAGCCCACAAAC